AUGACUCGAUGCACUGACUGCCCACGGACUGCGCCACUGAAGCGGUUGACUUCGAAGGAGGAGAAGAAUGGGAACUUUGGGCGCGAGUUCGUCAAAUGCGAGAGCAAGCCGGAGGGGCAGAUCGUGAAGAAAUGCCACCAUUUCGAGUGGAUGUAUGAUUACAUCCAGAGGCUUCAAGGGUUGGGCUUGCUGGAUUCGAGGGGGAAUGCAAUCCGCGAGUUCAAUCUGCCCCAUGACAGUGCCGCUCCGGCAGCAGCAGCGCGUCCGGAAUACCCGACGGUGGUAGAUGUCGAACUGAAGACGGAAUUGAAGAAGAUGAACAAGAACUUCAAGCAGCUGAUUGAGUUGAAGAAGCAAUCCAAUCUGAUAGCUUUAGGAAUACUUGCUCUAGGAAUUUUUUACUUGAUGGCCAUCUCUCGUUAG
rnacentral:rRNA from 1 species